rfam:Triticum urartu cultivar G1812 contig745061, whole genome shotgun sequence.
UUUAUACUCCCUUAGUCCUGAAUUAGUUGUCAUAGAUUUGUUUAAAUACGGAUGUAUCUAGACACAUUUUAGUGUUAGGUAUAUCCGUAUGUAGACAUAUCUAAAACAACUAAUCUGAAACAGAGGUAAUAGAAU